CGGAAUGACAGACACAGUUGUGAAUUUCGAUGAGCGUUGCACACCUUGGAGGCCUCGUUGGAUUGGAAUUUCAUGGAGGUAAUUCAUAUGCGCUCCGGAAUUCUCAGUAUACAAACUGAACACUAGUGACACCUCAGCAGUGUUGAGAGUUCAACCCUUGAAA